rnacentral:rRNA from 1 species
AUUGAACGCUGGCGGCAGGCCUAACACAUGCAAGUCGAACGAGUGGCGGACGGGUGAGUAAUGUAUGGGAAACUGCCUGAUGGAGGGGGCUAAAUACUGGAAACGGUAGCUAAUAACGCAUACCAUCAGAUGUGCCCAGAUGGGAUUAGCUAGUUGGUGGGGUAACGGCUCACCAAGGCGACGAUCCCUAGCUGGUCUGAGAGGAUGACCAGCAACACUGGAAUUGGGACACGGUCCAGACUCCGAGGGCAGUCAGCGGGGGGGAAUAUUGCACAAUGGGCGAAAGCCUGAUGCAGCCAUGCCGCGUGUAUGAAGAAGGCCUUCGGGUUGUAAAGUACUUUCAGCGGGGAGGCGUUACCCGCAGAAGAAGCACCGGCUAACUCCGUGCCAGCAGCCGCGGUAAUUC